AUGCAAUACUUCUGGCGUCACAUGGGCACUUCUGACAUUGUCCCUGUACACUUCCCCUGCACGUUCAAAAAGAUGUCUGUUGCAAUAUUGAAUGUUUCAGCUCAACACAUUGAGACUACUCUACUGUACUGCAAAUCAUGUUAUGUGAGGGAUCAUGAAAAUGAUUGUGACAGGAGCAGAACAGCGAGGCCGCAAUGGAUGUUGGAAAGAGUGGAACUGGACCGAAUCCGGCUGGGCUUCUGGUGGCGUGAAUCGAUGGCGGAGGCGGCUGGUGCUGGGCAGAGGUCCGCCCCUAGUACUGAAUUGGAAUGGAGAAGAAGUGCACGGAUUAGGAUGGGGAAGAAGCUUACCUGGCCAUGA
rnacentral:rRNA from 1 species